rnacentral:rRNA from 1 species
AUUGAACACUGGCGGCAGUCCUAACACAUGCAAGUCGAACGAGUAGCGGACGGGUGAGUAAUGUCAGGGAAACUGCCCGAUGGAGGGGGAUAAAUACUGGAAAAGGUAGCUAAUACCGACUACCCUCGGCUGUGCCCAGAUGGGACUAGCUAGUAGGUGGGGUAAUGGCUCACCUAGGCGAAGAUCCCUAGCUGGUCUGAGAGGAUGACCAGCCACACUGGAACUGAGACACGGUCCAGACUCCUACGGGAGGCAGCAGUGGGGAAUAUUGCACAAUGGGCGCAAGCCUGAUGCAGCCAUGCCGCGUGUAUGAAGAAGGCCUUCGGGUUGUAAAGUACUUUCAGCGAGGAGGCGUUACUCGCAGAAGAAGCACCGGCUAACUCCGUGCCAGCAGCCGCGGUAAUAC